GCUCUUCCUCUCUAAUCCUUUGUCCCUGGGUGAGAGUGCUUUCUGAAUGCAAUGCACGCAGGCAAGGAUUCUGAGAGGGUGAGC
rnacentral:pre_miRNA from 1 species